CCUACGGGAGGCAGCAGUAGGGAAUAUUGCUCAAUGGGCGAAACCCUGAAGCAGCAACGCCGCGUGGAGGAUGAAGGUUUUCGGAUUGUAAACCCCUUUUGUUAGAGAAGAUAAUGACGGUAUCUAACGAAUAAGCACCGGCUAACUCCGUGCCAGCAGCCGCGGUAAUACGGCGGGUGCAAGCGUUAGUCGGAAUGACUGGGCGUAAAGGGCGCGUAGGCGGGAUAGCAAGUCAGAUGUGAAAGCCUAGGGCUGAACCAUAGGAGUGCAUUUGAAACUGUUAUUCUAGAGUGUGGGAGAGGUAGGUGGAAUGCUAGGUGUAGGGGUGAAAUGCGUAGAGAGCAAGAAGAAUACUCAUUGCGAAGGCGGCCUGCUGGAACAUAACUGACGCUGAUGCGCGAAAGCGUGGGGAGCAAACAGGAUUAGAUACCCGAGUAGUC
rnacentral:rRNA from 1 species